GCAAGUCUGGUGCCAGCAGCCGCGGUAAUUCCAUGCUCGUGAUAGAAUGCUCGUAGUAGUCCAGUGAAAAAGCUCGUAGUUGAAACUUGGGCCUGGAUGUCGCUGACGAUGCUCGUGAUGCACUCGUCCGGCCGGGCCUCUCCUUCUGAAGAACCUCAUGCCCUUCACUGGGCGUGCUGGGAAUCAGGAUGUCGACUUUGAAAAAAUUAGAGUGAUGCUCGCAGGCCUUAUGCUCGUGAUAGUAAUGUCGCUCAAUAGAAUAGGGCGUGCGUUUCUAUUUUGUUGGUUUCUAGGACCGCCGCAAAUGCUCACAGGAACAGUCGGAUGCUCGUAGAUGCAGUUGUCAGAGGUGAAAUUCUUAUGCUCGUAUGAAGACUAACUACUGCAUGCUGGCUUGCCAAGGAUGUUUUCAUUAAUCAGUGAACGAAAUGCGCGCUGUAGAAGACGAUCAGAUACCGUCGUAGUCUUAACCGUAUGCUCGUGAUGCUAGGGAUCGGGCGAUGUUCUUUUUCUGACACGCUCGAUGCUGCCUGAGAAAUCAAAGUUUUUGGGUUCUGGUGGGAGUAUGGUCGCAAGG
rnacentral:rRNA from 1 species